AACGUACGCUGGCGGCACGCCUAACACAUGCAAGUCGAACGCAGUAGCAAUACUUAGUGGCAGACGGGUGAGUAACACGUGGGAAUCUGCCUUGUGGUUCAGGACAACAUUGGGAAACCGAUGCUAACACUGGAUAAGCCCUUACGCGGAAAGUUUUAAUGCCAUAAGAUGAGCCCGCAUUUGAUUAGUUAGUUGGUGAGGUAAUGGCUCACCAAGACAAUGAUCAAUAGCUGAUCUGAGAGGAUGAUCAGCCACACUGGGACUGAGACACGGCCCAGACUCCUACGGGAGGCAGCAGUGGGGAAUCUUGCACAAUGGAGGAAACUCUGAUGCAGCGAUGCCGCGUGAGUGAAGAAGGCCUUUGGGUUGUAAAGCUCUUUUGUAGGGGAAGAUAAUGACUGUCCCCUAAGAAUAAGGUCCGGCUAACUUCGUGCCAGCCGCCGCAGUAA
rnacentral:rRNA from 1 species